CGUAGCUGACGCUGAGGCGCGAAAGCCGGGGGAGCGAACAGGAUUAGAUACCCUGGUAGUCCCGGCCGUAAACGAUGGGGACUAGGUGUAGGGGGUACUGACCCCCUCUGUGCCGCAGUUAACGCAUUAAGUACCCCGCCUGGGGAGUACGCACGCAAGUGUGAAACUCAAAGGAAUUGACGGGGCCCCGCACAAGCGGUGGAGCAUGUGGAUCAAUUCGACGCAACGCGAAGAACCUUACCGGGGUUUGACAUGUACCGGACUGGCAUGGAAACAUGCCUUCCCUUCGGGGCUGGUACACAGGUGCUGCAUGGCUGUCGUCAGCUCGUGUCGUGAGAUGUUGGGUUAAGUCCCGCAACGAGCGCAACCCUCGUCGCCUGUUGCCAUCAGGUUAAGCUGGGCACUCUGGCGAGACUGCCCGCGAUAUGCGGGAGGAAGGCGGGGAUGACGUCAAGUCCUCAUGGUCCUUACAUCCCGGGCUUCACACGUGCUACAAUGGCCGGUACAAAGGGUUGCAAUACCGCGAGGUGGAGCCAAUCCCAAAAAGCCGGUCUCAGUUCGGAUUGGAGUCUGCAACUCGACUCCAUGAAGUCGGAAUCGCUAGUAAUCGUGGAUCAGCAUGCCACGGUGAAUACGUUCCCGGGGCUUGUACACACCGCCCGUCAAGCCACGAAAGCUGAUAGUACCCGAAGUCGCUGAGCCGACCCGCAAGGGAAGCAGGCGCCGAAGGUAAGAUUAGCGAUUGGGGCUAAGUCGUAACAAGGUAGCCGUACCGGAAGGUGUGGCUG
rnacentral:rRNA from 1 species